ACUGGUGGCUUAGCCGGAGGAGAAACUGGUGGUUUAACCGGGGGCUUAGUUGGGGGCUUGACUGGAGCUUUGGUAGGAGGGUAAACCGGGGGCUUGACCGGAGGUUUGGCUGGUGGGGAAACUGGUGGCUUGACCGGGGGUUUAGUCGGGGGUUUAACUGGAGCUUUGGUGGGAGGGUAAACCGGGGGCUUGACCGGAGGUUUGGUCGGUGGGGAAACUGGUGGCUUAACUGGGGCUUUGGUUGGAGGCUUAACUGGAGCUUUGGUAGGAGGGUAAACUGGGGCUUUGGUUGGGGGCUUGACAGGAGCUUUGGUGGGAGGGUAAACUGGGGGCUUAACUGGAGCUUUGGUAGGUGGAGACACUGGUGCCUUAACCGGGGGCUUAACUGGAGAUUUGGCCGGUGGGUGAGGGUGAGGGUGGGGGUGGUGGUGAUGGGGAGGGUGUGGGUGGUGGUGACCGUGGUGGUAAGGAGCUGGAGCAGGAGCUAGAGUAGGGGUUUGACUGACAUGGUUCACUUCUUCAGUGAAGGCAGAGGA
rnacentral:lncRNA from 1 species